CCUACGGGAGGCAGCAGUGAGGAAUAUUGGUCAAUGGGCUUACGCCUGAACCAGCCAAGUCGCGUGAGGGAAGACUGCCCUAUGGGUUGUAAACCUCUUUUGUCAGGGAGCAACGCCGGCUACGUGUAGCCGGACUGAGAGUACCUGAAGGAAAAGCAUCGGCUAACUCCGUGCCAGCAGCCGCGGUAAUACGGAGGAUGCGAGCGUUAUCCGGAUUUAUUGGGUUUAAAGGGUGCGUAGGCGGAAUGCCAAGUCAGCGGUAAAAUCGCGGGGCUCAACCUCGCUCUGCAGUUGAAACUGGCGGUCUUGAGUGGGCAAGAAGUAUGCGGAAUGCGUGGUGUAGCGGUGAAAUGCAUAGAUAUCACGAAGAACUCCGAUUGCGAAGGCAGCAUACCGGCGCCCAACUGACGCUGAAGCACGAAAGCGUGGGUAUCGAACAGGAUUAGAUACCCCGGUAGUC
rnacentral:rRNA from 1 species